rnacentral:rRNA from 1 species
GCAGUCGAGCGGUACAGGCGUAGCAUACGUGCUGACGAGCGGCGAACGGGUGAGCAAUGCUUCGGAAUCUGCCCAAUGAUGGGGAAUAACCAGUCGAAGAAUUGGCUAAUACCGCAUACGCCCUACGGGGGAAAGCGGGGGUCGCAAGACCUCGCGUCGAUGGAUGAGCCGAAGUCGGAUUAGCUAGUUGGUAGGGUAACGGCCUACCAAGGCGACGAUCCGUAGCUGGUCUGAGAGGACGACCAGCCACACUGGGACUGAGACACGGCCCAGACUCCUACGGGAGGCAGCAGUGGGGAAUAUUGGACAAUGGGGGCAACCCUGAUCCAGCGACGCCGCGUGUGUGAAGAAGGCCUGCGGGUUGUAAAGCACUUUUAGUGGGGAUGAAAAGCACAUCACUAAUACUGGUGUGUCUUGACCUAACCCUAAGAAAAAGCUCCGGCUAACUCUGUGCCAGCAGCCGCGGUAAUACAGAGGGUGCGAGCGU